GACAGAGGUCCCGAGCGUUAGACGGAAUCACUGGGCUUAAAGCGUGUGUAGGCGGAUGGGUAAGUACCUUGUGAAAUCCCAACAGCUCAACUGUGGAACUGCUUGGUAUACUGCUUGUCUUGAGCCACUUAGGGGCAACCGGAACGAAAUGGUGGAGCGGUGAAAUGCGUAGAUAUCAUUUGGAACGCCAAUGGUGAAAACAGGUUGCUGGGAGUGAUGCUGACGCUGAGACACGAAAGCCAGGGGAGCGAAACGGG
rnacentral:rRNA from 1 species